CACACCAGGCAAACUCCGUGUUAUACUGACUAAUGAUGAUGAAGAAGUAGAGGUUAAAGUGUUUGACCUUACAACCGGUACUGUUGAUGUGACGUUUAACAAACCCGGCGACAAAGUCAGCUUUGUAGUUGAGCCAGAUGAGGAGGGGUGCCAGUGUACAGUUGUCUUCUGUAGACAUUGAAGUCUGCCUUAAAGUAUCGCCAACUGAAGGCACACCAGCCACAACAGCAGGAACACCAGCCACAACAGCAGGAACACCAGCCACAACUGCAGGAACACCAGCCACAACAGCAGGAACACCAGCUACCACUGCCGGAACACCAGC